rnacentral:lncRNA from 1 species
GAUGUGGACUGGCAGUUGGCACUGGCCCCAGUAUUAAGAGGUGGACUGCUAAGGAAGUGGCUAGACGACACUGACCCCAGUAUUAAGAGGUGGACUGCUAGUAGACACUGGCCCCAGUAUUAAGAGGUGGACUGCUAGUUGACGCUGACCCCAGUAUUAAGAGGUGGACUGCUAAGGAAGGGGCUAGUAGACACUGACCCCCAGUUUAAGAGGUGGACUGCUAAGGAAGUGGCUAGUAGACACUGACCCCAGUAUUAAGAGGUGGACUGCUAAGAAGUGGCUAGUUGACACUGGCCCCAGUAUUAAGAGGUGGACUGCUAAGGAAGUGGCUAGUUGACACUGGCCCCAGUAUUAAGAGGUGGACUGCUAGUUGACACUGGAACCCAGUAUUAAGAGGUGGACUGCU